UACGUAGGUUCCGAGCGUUGUCCGGAUUUAUUGGGCGUAAAGCGAGCGCAGGCGGUUAGAUAAGUCUGAAGUUAAAGGCUGUGGCUUAACCAUAGUACGCUUUGGAAACUGUUUAACUUGAGUGCAAGAGGGGAGAGUGGAAUUCCAUGUGUAGCGGUGAAAUGCGUAGAUAUAUGGAGGAACACCGGUGGCGAAAGCGGCUCUCUGGCUUGUAACUGACGCUGAGGCUCGAAAGCGUGGGGAGCAAACAGGAUUAGA
rnacentral:rRNA from 1 species